ACGAACGCUGGCGGCGUGCUUAACACAUGCAAGUCGAACGAAAAGGCCCUGCUUGCAGGGUGCUCGAGUGGCGAACGGGUGAGUAACACGUGGGUGAUCUGCCCCUUACUUUGGGAUAAGCCUGGGAAACUGGGUCUAAUACUGGAUAGGACCAUGCUGUAGGUGGUGUGGUGGAAAGAUUAGUUUCGGUAAGGGAUGAGCUCGCGGCCUAUCAGCUUGUUGGUGGGGUAAUGGCCUACCAAGGCGUCGACGGGUAGCCGGCCUGAGAGGGUGGACGGCCACAUUGGGACUGAGAUACGGCCCAGACUCCUACGGGAGGCAGCAGUGGGGAAUAUUGCACAAUGGGCGCAAGCCUGAUGCAGCGACGCCGCGUGGGGGAUGACGGCCUUCGGGUUGUAAACUCCUUUCAGCCAUGACGAAGCCCUUGUGGUGACGGUAGUGGUAGAAGAAGCACCGGCUAACUACGUG
rnacentral:rRNA from 1 species